rnacentral:rRNA from 1 species
UACGUGAAACCGUUUAAGGGUAAACCUGAGAAACCCGAAAGUUCGAACGAGGAGAUUCAGUGUGUCUCGUCGGGUGCGAGCAGUGUUUGGUAGACAUUUGUCGUUCGCGGCAUUUGCUCCUUGUGCUGCCGUUGCUUGGCGAACGCAUGCACUUCUCCUCCAGUAGGACGUCGCGACCCGUUGGGUGUCGGUCUGAGGCCCGCAGUGGAGCCCGUUUGUCGGUUUCGGCCGUGCAUAUCGGACCUGUGGUGUCCCGUCCGGCUGCUCGACGGUAGACUAGAGGCGCAGAGCCGCGACUAGCUCGCGUUCGGCCCGAUGCAAGCGCGGCCGGUUACUCGAUCGUCGGACUUGUGCCGAUUUCGGGGCCGGUCGACUGUUGGUGUCGGUGUUCCCGAACAGACUCUGUACACGCCUGUCAGCGGCGCUAUAGCUUUGGGUACUUUCAGGGCCCGUCUUGAAACACGGACCAAGGAGUCUAGCAUGUGCGCGAGUCAUUGGGACUAUCGAAUCCUAAAGGCGAAAUGAAAGUAAAGGCUGAGCCUGCUCUGUCGAGGGAAGAUGGGCGACUUAAUCGUUGCCUCGCACUCCCGGGGCGUCUCAUUCUCAUUGCGAGUAGAGGCGCACCUAGAGCGUACAUGCUGGGACCCGAAAGAUGGUGAACUAUGCCUGGUCAGGACGAAGUCAGGGGAAACCCUGAUGGAGGUCCGUAGCGAUUCUGACGUGCAAAUCGAUCGUCGGAACUGGGUAUAGCUGCGAAAGACUAAUCGAACCACU